UAGCAGCUGCUAUGAGGUUAGAGGGAGCUUGGUUAGUGAUACUGAAAGGGACACUGCCAGGACCAGGCUUGGUAGCUGAGCCCCUCAGGGGCUGAAUUGAGGAGGCAGAGCGGGGAGGCGAGUCCAUCCCCUGCAGCGUCGCGCGGAGGCGGCCAGUGCCCAGCACUCCUGCAUGCCCCACUCCUGCUCCGCAGCGAGUGUCAGUCAGCAAUCACUGCCUUUGUG